GCAGCCUUCUGAAGUGAUGUGAUGGUGCUGUGUAUGGGCAGGGUCCUGAAGCCUUCUGGUGUGGUGAGGUGCUACUGUGUGUGGCUACUCGGGAACGUGUCGAAGGCCCGAAGUGUUACAAUUACCGAGCCCACCAGGUGGUGCCAUUGCCCCACGGCACGAAAGGACCGCGGCCGCUGCCCAAAGCCAGCCGGAGAAAGGGCUCGGACCAGGAUUGCUUCAGGCUUCCACAAACGGUUCCUUACCUUUCUCCAAAAGCAGGAAAAAACUCACCCCAAACCGUAAUUGCUGAGACAUCCAUUAAGGCGCCUAUAAGAAAAAAAAAAAAUAGUUAAUUUUCACUUGGGAUAGUGAUGCUUGGAUUUAGACCCAGGUAAUUUAACAUUUCACCUCUAUUGAAAUAAAUAAGAGCUACAUGCAUAAAGAGCACAGAAGCCAUUUCAUUUAACACAUUACUAUUUCUGUGAUAAAUGAAUCAAUGUUUACAUCUGCAGUGACUGAAACAAUACACCCUUAAAGCUUUCUUCAAAUAAAUACAGUGACAAUGCCAACAAAUCACUAUGUAUUUGUGGAAAUAGAGGCUCAGACUCUUAAAAAAUUAAUUUGUUCCUGCAGCCUGGGCUUGGCCAAGGAGAGCUGCACAGACCACAGCCAAGCAGGUAAUGACUACGAUGGUUUCUGGAAGUUUUUUUGGUAGUACUUAGGCUUUUUGCAGGCUCUUUCUGGAAAGAAAAAAAACUUUUUCAUUGCUAGGAUUACUGAAAUAAGACUAGUGGGAGCAAGACUGUGUCGCUAAGGUGUAGGAAGAAACAUGGAUUUAGCCAAAAGUUAUCCAAGGAGAAGAAUGGGAAAUCAGAGAUCCUCAUUGUGCAAAAUGCUGAACAGUGUCCAAAAUCUUCAACUUAAAUUCAUGUUAGUUGACUACGUAUUUUUUCUUGAAUGAAUAUUGAAACUGUCAUAUUAUUUAUGAUCAGACUUUCUGUUGUGUGUAUUUUUCCCUCAACAGCUUUUAAAGUCAAUGGUAUCUUCAUCUCACUCUUGAUUUCUAUGUACAUAAGUAAGGUUAAUAAUUGUAUAGUCUUAUAUUCAACAUGAAGAGUAUUUGUAAACCUGAGCUAAGAUGAAAUUAAAUUCUACAGAAGAUAAGUUACAAUUUAAA